AUGGCCUAAUUUCUGCUCCUGUGUCUUGUGGUCUUAAACUAAUUAAUGUAGACAAUACAGUUAUGCUUGAAAUCUACUGCAGUAGUGAAACAUAGUGCCUCUGCAGUAGGUAUAUGCACUAUAGUGUGUAUUACUGAGGGGUAAAAGCCAAAAAGGUCCGUUGUUCAGUCUCGGCAAGAUUCAAUUUCUUGAUUUGGUAAGUCAACCAGUCGUUAGUUGCCUCGGAAUAAUUGGCCUAGAGAAGAGUGGAGUUGCUGAUAUUUGCACACAAAUGUAGAGAAAAGUUACAUUUUCAUCAUUACUUUUGAAAGAGAAGGGACAAUAAUUUUUUUUUUCCAAAAUAUAAUUCAGUUCUCAAUGGUAAAAAUAUAUAUAUUUUUUGAACUCUUUACUUUGUAGCUACCCGUAAGGGUGUCACCAAGAGAGGCUGAUAGCUUCUGCAAGGUUAGGAAAACAGGCAGUUCCACCUGAGGAUGGUGCCACAGUAAAGACCAGAAUCAAUUUCACAAAACAUGGGGAAUCAGACAGACAAAGGCACUACCAAUGUUGACAGAUUAGUAGAGAAGCUGUGGGGGUGAAAAGAUCUGCCAAAAUGAGAGUCGUGUAAGAUAACUAGAGUAGACAGUACAGUAGAAUGAGAGCAUAUUAUUUAGAAUCUGUAGAAAGCAUAGGGAGGAGCCAGUUUAAGCUUAUGCACUACUCAUCCCUAAGUGCACUAGGCAAAGCAGAUACAGUGUAUCAUAGCCAAAAUACAAAACUUCAUCUGAGGCAUAGCAUACAUUAAAUGUGGUUAUGAUUGAAUCCAUCCAAAAUGAAUGUCCUUGUGAGAAAAUUUUAGUCCUGUUGAUGUACGUCAUGGAUUUACUAGCAGAUUGCACCCAACAGUUGAAGGUAAGCAUGAUUUUAUUGUGGUUGCUAAAAUGAAAAUGCAUUUUUUUCUAAAUUCGUUUUAAACUAAAGUUAAAUCUGUGUAAUAUUAUAAAAACACUGGUAUUUAUCUGCUGUAAUCUCAGCAAAUGAAGCGCUGCUGGUUUUAUACAAAAUGCUUUUGUCAGUUAUCAGUUGCAAAAUAAGCAGUUGUCCUUUGGACAUUCCUAGGCCGAUAAUUCAAAUCACAUAUAGAUUCUAUACUUUAAUCAGCUUUACCUGGUUCUGUCUUUUCAGCAACAACCAAUCCAUUUGUAGCAGCUCCUGUUCUGCCAGCACCUGCUGCCACAAACCCAUUCCAGACUAAUGGGAGAACUGCAGUAAGCUUUGGAACAGCGUCAAUGAGCAUGCCAACAUUGUUUGCCAAUCCAGCAGGAUAUACUCUUCCCACCAGCUUCAGUGGUGGCUUCCAGCAACCGGUCUUAUCUGGCCCUGUGACCUUUCCUCAACAUUCAGCAUUUCCACAGCAACCAGUUGGUGGAGGUUUUGGUUCAUUCGAACAACCUAAACCAAUGGUCAUGCCAUAUGGUCAACCAAUGGCAGCAUCUACGAUGUCUAGUAAUCCCUUUCUGGCUGGAGCUCCAAUGGGGCAGUUUCCAACAGGAAGCUCUUCAACCAACCCAUUCUUAUAGCCUAUUCAGUUGCUGUCAGGAGAGUUAUGUUGAUGCGUGACGUCUCCAGAUCUCUUGCACAGUUGUGUUGUUCACCAAUCUUAGCUUUAAUCACGAGUCUCUUAAAGCCUGUAUUUUGUAUAACGGGGUAAUAUAUGCAGAAAGGAAGGAUUUUCUGUAUGUCCUUUAUUUAACCAUUAUUUGGCAAGAAGGUUCAAGAUGUAGCCAUAUCAUGUAUAUUGAAAUGGGCUAAUAUUAAGUUAUUGCACUUCUUUCAUUGCUCUGCAGUACUGUACAUAUUUUUUCUUAGAAAUUUAGCUAGUUGUGCAGAUCAGUAUUUGUAAUUUAACACAUUUAUGUUAAUGUGAAAUGUUACUGAGCAGAAAGAGUCAUAAUAAAGUUGCUGUAUCUAUAAGGAUGAAAUUGCUGUAACAUUGGCCUUUUAAGUUUGAGUUUUAAAUAAACUAGAUUAUUCAUUUGUGACUGAAAAGGAGAUUUUCUUUCUCAGAGGAAAAUUCUCUUAUUUAUAUUCUGAGUAUGUAGAAAACUGCAUCUCUGCCUAAUAAAGAAAAUCAUGUUUUGCUACAAAGUUUGCAAUUGACAAAAUAAAUACAAUAUUAGUAAAAAUCUC